rnacentral:rRNA from 1 species
GAUGAACGCUGACAGAAUGCUUAACACAUGCAAGUCAACUUGAACUUCGGUUUGUGUGGCGGACGGGUGAGUAACGCGUAAAGAACUUGCCUCACAGUUAGGGACAACAUUUGGAAACGAAUGCUAAUACCUGAUAUUAUGAUUUUAGGGCAUCCUAGAAUUAUGAAAGCUAUAUGCGCUGUGAGAGAGCUUUGCGUCCCAUUAGCUAGUUGGAGAGGUAACGGCUCACCAAGGCGAUGAUGGGUAGCCGGCCUGAGAGGGUGAACGGCCACAAGGGGACUGAGGCACGGCCCUUACUCCUACGGGGGGCAGCAGUGGGAAAUAUUGGACGAUGGACCAAGAGUCUGAUCCAGCAAUUCUGUGUGCACGAUGAAGUUUUUCGGAAUGUAAAGUGCUUUCAGUUGGGAAGAAAAAAAUGACGAUACCAACAGAAGAAGUGACGGCUAAAUACGUG